rnacentral:sRNA from 1 species
GGAUGUAGUAUGCCACACGUCCAAUACCAAUGUUUAUCUUUGUAAUAUAAGGAUUCUAUGAUUUUGGUUAUUUUUAAAAAUGUAUAUCUUUAUAAAUCAAUUUAAAAUCUCUUGAGGUUUUGCUAAUUUAGGUUAUUAUAAGUAAAUAAAUAUAACUAUUUUUAAGCUACUAUGUUACUAUUUUUUAUUUUCCUUAUUAGUGAAAUUUGUAGGAUUUUCACACAUGUUAAGAAAACAUAUUAAAAAAAAAUAUUUUUGUGAUUUACAAUUUGCAAUAACUCUAAAUUAAUAGUACUCAAAUAUGUUUUUUUCAAAAUUUAUAACUCAUCAAUAAUAACUAAUAAAUAUUGCAUAGAAAACUUAAAAUAUUUUUUUGGAAACUAAUUUUUUUUUUAGAAAAUAAAAUAAUAAGGAACAAAGAGAGUAUAAAUUAUGAACUAUUGAAGAUAAUGAUAUCAAUAACACAUCAUAAUGAUAAACAGCUCAUCUAAAAAAAAUCUCAUAUCCACCUUCUCCUCAAUGUUUACAAUCUGUAUAGUGAUGAUAUUUGUGACAUGCUAUGAAACGUUUCAACAAGAUGGAGAACCAUUUCCAAUUAGAGGUCCUCUUACGAGGAUCACGGUUAAAAACAAUAACGAUUAUUUGCUUGGAAUCCACUGUAAAUCUAAAGAUGAUGAUCUCGGUUUCCAUAUUCACAAAGAGGGUGAAUUAUAUGGUUGGAAAUUUCAUGUAAAUUUUCAGAAUUCAACACUAUAUUUCUGUGGAUUUAGCCAAGGACAAGAUAAUAAAGGCGUGUUCGACAUAGACAGGGCGGAAAGAGAUUUUUAUAGAUGUAGAAAUUGUACAUGGAAUGCAAAAAAAGAUAGUCUAUAUGGUUAUAGCAACUUGCCUCAAACAGUUACAUGGUUUUUUAAGUGGUUAAAAUAGUACUAAAUUGAAUUAUCAUUGCAAAUAUAAAUAAAAUAAUCUUUUAAGAACUGUAUAAAAUUUGCAUAUUAUGUUGUUAACCUAAAAUAAAAACUUGUUGUCGAGCAUAUUAGAGCAAGUUUUAGUAAGAGAGCAAAUAAGAGAUGUGAGCCUUUAAAAGUAUAAACUUUAAGAAGUGUCAAUGGCUGUUUAACAAAUCAGAAAACAAAUAGUUAAGGAUAGACUGAAAACAACUGAUUUUCUUAUAUUUUCCUUCUGAUUUUCUUAUAUUUUCCUUAAUUAUUUUUUAUUUAUAUUUUUCUAUAUUUCUUUCUGAUUUUCUUAUAUUUUCCUUCUGAUUUUUCAUAUUGUUCUUCUGAUUUUCUUAUAUUUUCCUUCUUUUUUUAUAUAUUU